rnacentral:rRNA from 1 species
UACAGAGGGUGCAAGCGUUAAUCGGAAUUACUGGGCGUAAAGCGUGCGUAGUCGGUUAUCUAAGUCGGGUGUGAAAUCCCCGGGCUCAACCUGGGAAUUGCAUUCGAUACUGGAUAGCUAGAGUUCGGCAGAGGGAAGCGGAAUUUCCGGUGUAGCGGUGAAAUGCGUAGAUAUCGGAAAGACCACCAAUGGCGAAGGCACUCUACUGGGCCAUUACUGACACUGAGAGACGAAAGCUAGGGGAGCAAAUGGG